AACGAACGCUGGCGGCAGGCCUAACACAUGCAAGUCGAGCGAGACCUUCGGGUCUAGCGGCGGACGGGUGAGUAACGCGUGGGAACGUGCCCUUUUCUACGGAAUAGCCUCGGGAAACUGAGCGUAAUACCGUAUACGCCCUUUGGGGGAAAGAUUUAUCGGAGCAGGAUCGGCCCGCGUUGGAUUAGGUAGUUGGUGGGGUAAUGGCCUACCAAGCCUACGAUCCAUAGCUGGUUUGAGAGGAUGAUCAGCCACACUGGGACUGAGACACGGCCCAGACUCCUACGGGAGGCAGCAGUGGGGAAUCUUAGACAAUGGGGGCAACCCUGAUCUAGCCAUGCCGCGUGAGUGAUGAAGGCCUUAGGGUUGUAAAGCUCUUUCAGCUGGGAAGAUAAUGACGGUACCAGCAGAAGAAGCCCCGGCUAACUCCGUG
rnacentral:rRNA from 1 species